AAAGGCCAAUCAAACCGGGAGAUAGCUGGUUCUCCCCGAAAUCUAUUUAGGUAGAGCCUUGAGCGGACACCUUCGGGGGUAGAGCACUGUUUCGGCUAGGGGUCCAUCCCGGAUUACCAACCCGAUGCAAACUACGAAUACCGAAGAGUGAUACUCAGGAGACACACGGCGGGUGCUAACGUCCGUCGUGGAGAGGGAAACAACCCAGACCGCCAGCUAAGGUCCCAAAGUCUAUAUUAAGUGGGAAACGAAGUGGGAAGGCUUAGACAGCUAGGAUGUUGGCUUAGAAGCAGCCAUCAUUUAAAGAAAGCGUAAUAGCUCACUAGUCGAGUCGGCCUGCGCGGAAGAUGUAACGGGGCUCAAAUAUAGCACCGAAGCUGCGGCAUCAGUAGCAAUACUGUUGGGUAGGGGAGCGUUCUGUAAGCGGAUGAAGAUGGCUCGAGAGGGCUGUUGGACGUAUCAGAAGUGCGAAUGCUGACAUAAGUAACGAUAAAACGGGUGAAAAACCCGUUCGCCGGAAGACCAAGGGUUCCUGUCCAACGUUAAUCGGGGCAGGGUGAGUCGGCCCCUAAGGCGAGGCUGAAAAGCGUAGUCGAUGGGAAACGGGUUAAUAUUCCCGUACUUGGAUAAACUGCGAUGUGGGGACGGAGCAGGUUAGGUUAUCGCACUGUUGGAUAUGUGCGUUUAAGUUGGUAGGUGAGAAGUUUAGGCAAAUCCGGACUUCUAUCACACUGAGAGAUGAUGACGAGGCUCUACGGAGCUGAAGUAACCGAUACCACACUUCCAGGAAAAGCCACUAAGCUUCAGGUUUAUCUAAACCGUACUGAAAACCGACACAGGUGGUCAGGUAGAGAAUACUCAGGCGCUUGAGAGAACUCGGGUGAAGGAACUAGGCAAAAUAGCACCGUAACUUCGGGAGAAGGUGCGCCGGCGUAGAUUGUAGUCCCUAGCGGGCGAAGGUUGAACCGGUCGAAGAUACCAGCUGGCUGCAACUGUUUAUUAAAAACACAGCACUCUGCAAACACGAAAGUGGACGUAUAGGGUGUGAUGCCUGCCCGGUGCUGGAAGGUUAAUUGAUGGUGUAAUCGAAAGAGAAGCUCCUGAUCGAAGCCCCAGUAAACGGCGGCCGUAACUAUAACGGUCCUAAGGUAGCGAAAUUCCUUGUCGGGUAAGUUCCGACCUGCACGAAUGGCAUAAUGAUGGCCAGGCUGUCUCCACCCGAGACUCAGUGAAAUUGAAAUCGCCGUGAAGAUGCGGUGUACCCGCGGCUAGACGGAAAGACCCCGUGAACCUUUACUAUAGCUUGACACUGAACAUUGAAUUUUGAUGUGUAGGAUAGGUGGGAGACUAUGAAGAUGAUACGCCAGUAUUGUUGGAGUCGUCCUUGAAAUACCACCCUUUAACGUUUGAUGUUCUAACGAAGAUUACGAAACGUGGUCUCGGACAGUGUCUGGUGGGUAGUUUGACUGGGGCGGUCUCCUCCCAAAGAGUAACGGAGGAGCACGAAGGUUUGCUAAUGACGGUCGGACAUCGUCAGGUUAGUGCAAUGGUAUAAGCAAGCUUAACUGCGAGACAGACAAGUCGAGCAGGUACGAAAGUAGGUCAUAGUGAUCCGGUGGUUCUGAAUGGAAGGGCCAUCG
rnacentral:rRNA from 1 species